rnacentral:rRNA from 1 species
CAAGAGCGUAUGUAAAAGUUGUUGCAGUUAAAAAGCUCGUAGUUGAACCUUGGGUUUGGUUGGCCGGUCCGCUUUUUUGCGAGUACUGGAUUCAACCGAGCCUUUCCUUCUGGCUAACCAGUCGUUUCGGCGGCUGGCGAACCAGGAUUUUUACUUUGAGAAAAUUAGAGUGUUCAAAGCAGGCAUUAGCUUGAAUAUAUUAGCAUGGAAUAAUAGAAUAGGACGUUAUGGUUCUAUUUUGUUGGUUUCUAGGACCAUCGUAAUGAUUAAUAGGGACGGUCGGGGGCAUCAGUAUUCAGUUGUCAGAGGUGAAAUUCUUGGAUUUACUGAAGACUAACUACUGCGAAAGCAUUUGCCAAGGACGUUAUCAUUAA